ACAAAAUAAUUGAUUUGGCAAAUUAUUUUUGAUAAAUCAGCAACAAGGAAGAAAAUUGUUCAAGACAUAAGCAAAACUAAUUUGCCAAAUCAAUUAUUUUGUUACAAUAUUUUUGAAAAAGAAGCUCAAAGAGCUACCAGCACUUGAGGGAAAUAAAGGAAAUAGAAAUUUGACCACAUAAGUAGCUCUGGCUCAUGCUAGAGUAUCUGUCUGCUUAGCUUGCUGCAAUAGCUCUUCUCUGACCCUCCUGAUCUCCAUCUCCUUUUCAAGUCUUUCCUUCUUCUCAUCCUGGUGAAGAGCAAUCCAGACGUGGACUCUAUCCAUUGAUUGCCAAAAUAGAAAGGCCCCAAAUGAUAUCCCGAAAAACGUUGCCACUCUCACCAUCUUCACAAUUGACUCUAUUCUUCGCCUCUUCCUCGAGAUA
rnacentral:misc_RNA from 1 species